UAUCAUUUUAGAGGAAGGAGAAGUYGUAACAAGGUUUCCGUAGGUGAACCUGCGGAAGGAUCAUUGUCGAAACCUGCACAGCAGAACCACCCGCGAACCAGUGUACACACGCCGACGKGGAUACGGCUUCGGGUGCGCGAGCACCCGGCGUCGUCCCCCCGUCCGCGGCGAGGGGCGGGCACAGCCCCGCUCUCCGCUGCGAAACAACGAACCCCGGCGCGAGCUGCGCCAAGGAAAAUCAAACGAGAGAGCGCGCUCUCGGGGCCCCGGACACGGUGCGCCCGCGGGAUGCGUCGCAUUCUUUCAACGAAAAACAAAACGACUCUCGGCAACGGAUAUCUCGGCUCUCGCAUCGAUGAAGAACGUAGCGAAAUGCGAUACUUGGUGUGAAUUGCAGAAUCCCGUGAACCAUCGAGUCUUUGAACGCAAGUUGCGCCCCAAGCCAUUAGGCCGAGGGCACGUCUGCCUGGGUGUCACGCAUCGUUGCCCCCCAACCCCCCGCCCGGGGGACCUGUUGGAGGGCGGAAAAUGGCCUCCCGUGCGCUACCGCUCGCGGUUGGCCCAAAUUCGAGUCUUCGGCGACCGUGUCGCGACCUUCGGUGGUGAGAACAAGCCUCUCGAGCUCAGGUCGUGCGCMCGUGUCUCCGUGUCAAGGGCUCUCGGACCCCUUAGCGCGCGCCGCUCGCUUC
rnacentral:misc_RNA from 1 species